GAAACAGAUGCUGAUAUAAUUACACAGGAAGAAACAUGACUUGCCAGUUUGAAAAGACACCUUCAGCAUUACAAUACCAGCAAGGUACCUCCAGCUUUGUGACGGUUUGACAUGGGAGGACUCCUAUAAACAGAAUUGCAACAGUUGAAAAACCAGGCUAGAGCACUGGCAAAAAAGAGGACCUUUAGACUUCAAGAGGAGUGUGCGUACCUCUGAUGGUGUCUUUAAUAGUUGAUUGACCCCAAGUUACAGCAGUAUGAAAUAGAAAGAAAAACAAGUCAUUUUCUCCAUGGUAUGAAGAACCUUAUACAUCUCUGUCAUAUGGCAGAGUUUUUGCCUUUCUUUCCUUAUUUUAAA